rnacentral:lncRNA from 1 species
GAACAAGAAACUCUUGCUUCUGGCGAGGAGACAAAGAUAUGGACCAUUGUCCCUGUUUUUAAGGAUGUUACAAUAUAGCAAAGGAAAAAUGUUACAAAAAGUGCAAGCAAGGUAGAAAGUAAUGGGAAUAAAGAUUCUAAUUGCAUUAAUAAAAUUUGAGGAAUGAGAAUACAAAUACUUUUAGCUGGGGAAGUCACUUUUAGUGGGUGGCUUCAUGGAGGAUGUGGCAUCCAAAUUGAUUCUUUAAGUAAGAGAAGUAUUUUGACAAGCAGAGAUUUGAAAGGAAUACAUUCCACACAUAAGAGCCAUCCUGUAGAAGGUCCUACCUUAUUCUAGGAAAUGACCAUAAUGAAUUUGGAGAACAGCUCGGUAAGAUUUGGCUGGAAUGUAUCAAACAAUGAAAGGAAUAUUGUAAAAUAUGACUAUAAAGGUGAAGAAUAUCUUCUUUUGGAGGACCACUGCACGUAUGCUUCAUCUUUUUUUAGACACUCACCUUCUGUCUUUGGAUCCAUGCUAACUAUUAGUUACAAGGCAAAAGAAUGGUAUAAUAAUACGUUGUCUUCCCAAGUGCUGAGUUUGACUCCAGGAAACAGAAUACAUUUAACCUCCUCACUUUUUCAGAAUGAUUUUAUUUUUAUUGAGUUCAAAUUUGUCAUGAUUGACCAUGCUGUCCUGAGACUGUGGCAAAGGUCCUUUUUGAAUCUCUUUGUUUCUUCCAAUUCAAUUCAAAUAAAAAAAAAAUUACAUGUUUUCUGACAGCAAAGGAAAGUAAUGAAUGCUGGAGGGGAUGUGGCAAAGUAGGGACAUUAAUGCAUUGCUGGUGGAGUUGUGAAUUGAUCCAACCAUUCUGGAGAGCAAUUUGGAACUAUGCCCAAUGGGCGAUAAAAGACUGUCUGCUCUUUGAUCCAGCCAUAGCACUGCUGGGUUUGUACCCCAAAGAGAUAAUAAGGAAAAAGACUUGUGCAAGAAUAUUCAUAGCUGUGCUCUUUGUGGUAGCCAAAAAUUGGAAAAUGAGGAAAUGCCCUUCAAUUGGAGAAUGGCUGAACAAAUUGUGGUAUAUGUUGGCUAUGGAAUACUAUUGUGCUCAAAGGAAUAAUAAAGUGGAGGAAUUCCAUGGAGACUGGAACA